rnacentral:tRNA from 1 species
GUUUUAAUAAUUUAAUUUAAAAAUCUUGGUCUUGUAAACCAAAUAUAAGAAUCAAUCUUUUAAAACA